rnacentral:rRNA from 1 species
UACAGAGGGUGCGAGCGUUAAUCGGAAUUACUGGGCGUAAAGCGCACGUAGUCGGCUUUGCAAGUCGGGUUUGAAAUCCCCGGGCUCAACCUGGGAACUGCAUCCGAGACUGCAUUGCUAGAGUAUGGGAGAGGGAAGCGGAAUUUCUGGUGUAGCAGUGAAAUGCGUAGAUAUCAGAAGGAACAUCAGUGGCGAAGGCGGCUUCCUGGACCAAUACUGACGAUCAGGUGCGAAAGCGUGGGGAGCAAACAGG